GUCUAAUUAGUUUAUUUAAAAUGUUAAAUUGUGGAUUUAAAGAAGAGAUUCAUUAGAUA
rnacentral:tRNA from 1 species